rnacentral:rRNA from 1 species
GAUUACAGUUUACGACUACCCUGAACAAACCCGAUCCCGUCUGAUCUCGGAAGCUAAGCAGGGUGGGGCCUGGUUAGUACUUGGAUGGGAGACCACCUAGGAAGACCAGGUGCUGUAGGCG